rnacentral:lncRNA from 1 species
UAUGCACAAGUAUAUGCAAAAUCAAGAAGGCAAGUGGGAGUGGUUGAUUUAUAAAUUUUUUUUAAUUUGCUUUUAAUAAGGUAAACUAUCAGAAGAUGCCUCUGUAGUGUUAGUGGAAUUUCAAAUGUAGUGACAAAUUGAGGAUUUGCCCUAUUUCACUCUCUCUUUCAUUUAGAUCUUGACGUAACACAAAAAUAAAAGGUCGCUAUGCAAUCAUAUCUGAAGGAAGUGGUGGCCUACAAUCUUUGAAAAUAUAUAGCCAUAUUGUUCAACUACCAAAGAUGGCAGGGUGUUCAUCCACUGAACAGAGGGUGAAUUAUCACUUCAGUAAACAGACCUGUUUG